rnacentral:rRNA from 1 species
GACGUAGGGCGCGAGCGUUGUCCGGAUUUAUUGGGCGUAAAGAGCUCGUAGGCGGCUUGUUGCGUCAGCUGUGAAAACCCACAGCUCAACUGUGGGCUUGCGGUCGAUACGGGCAGGCUAGAGUUCGGUAGGGGAGACUGGAAUUCCUGGUGUAGCGGUGAAAUGCGCAGAUAUCAGGAGGAACACCGGUGGCGAAGGCGGGUCUCUGGGCAACAACUGACGCUGAGGAGCGAAAGCGUGGGGAGCGAACAGG